rnacentral:rRNA from 1 species
AACGAACGCUGGCGGCAUGCCUAACACAUGCAAGUCGAACGAGACCUUCGGGUCUAGUGGCGCACGGGUGCGUAACGCGUGGGAACCUGCCCUUAGGUUCGGAAUAACUCCCCGAAAGGGGUGCUAAUACCGGAUAAUGUCUUCGGACCAAAGAUUUAUCGCCUUUGGAUGGGCCCGCGUUGGAUUAGCUAGUUGGUAGGGUAAAAGCCUACCAAGGCGACGAUCCAUAGCUGGUCUGAGAGGAUGAUCAGCAACACUGGGACUGAGACACGGCCCAGACUCCUACGGGAAGCAGCAGUGGGGAAUAUUGGACAAUGGGCGAAAGCCUGAUCCAGCAAUGCCGCGUGAGUGAUGAAGGCCUUAGGGUUGUAAAGCUCUUUUACCCGGGAUGAUAAUGACAGUACCGGGAGAAUAAGCUCCGGCUAACUCCGUG